rnacentral:lncRNA from 1 species
AACAUAAACCCGCCAAGAUGGCAGAAGCGAAGCAGAAGGCCCCUGCCGCGAGCUCACCUACAGCGCGACCUCCACAGGUUGCGGGGCCGCCCGAGAGCCCGCGGCGGCUGUACUGCCCCCAGGCGGUGGCGACCCAUCCACGCAGGCGGCGGCCGCGGCGGCCCCACCAGAGCGCCUGCGCAGAGCCCAGAAGGCAGUGCGAGGGGAGCGGCGCCGCGUGGCGAGGUGGCGGCGGCGAGGCGGCGGCUGAGGGACGCGGUCCUCCCGCCCCGGUCGGCGGAGAGCGCGGUGGGCCCCGCCGUGCCCGUCGGCCCCGUGGAAACCAAGCCUGACGUGAGCCGCCGCUACCUGGGUGAGGCCUCCGUCACCUCCAGAUUCCUGAAGCGAGGCGCGUCUGGCCACCCCUUCCCGCGUCAGCCCCCUCAAGUAGCUGAAAGCUGGAUAUUAGGAAUAACUCUGGACAUACCUGUUUCAAGUGAACAAAAGCAAACAAAUACAGAAGUCUGUAACCCAAUAUAUUCUCAAGCACAAACUAAGCAGUUGAAUAUGGGAUCACUGCAGAGGCCAAGCUCUGGUUCAGGUAGAAUUAUUAAUAUCCUUUCUAUGAGUUACAUUCACAUAGAGGAAGACAAUCUACAGGUUGAAAAAUCUCCAGGGUCAGAGGUCUAGGGACGGAUGUUGUUGGUGCUACUACUCUGUUUUGUUUUAUUUAUGUUAUUUAUAGUAUUAUCAUUAGCUACACAAAUAUGCUACUUUCCCUCUAUUGAUGCUUUUAAUUGAGCAUCACAUAUGCUUUUAUCUUUAUGCAUGAAUGUGAUAGGUGGGAUUGAGAUAAGCCUUCUAAAAAUUCCCCAGAAAAGCCCAUAAACUAUUUUUAAACAUGAUUCAUGGCUGGUUUAUCACAAUUGAUCAUAAUUGAUCUCCUACAUUUUCUCAGUUCUCCCAUAUGACUCUGGCUUGAUCCUGACCCAUCCAUUAAUCUCAAGGCCAGACACUACAACUGGGCUAUCACCCUAUCAUCUUCAGCUUUCCUUUGAUAAAUGUUCCUAUAUUCUCAUAACACUUUGCCAUCUCUUCUUCAUCUUCGCUGUUGCAACAGACAACUAAUGGUUUUCCUAUCGGGAAUUCUGUACUCUUUCAUUGUGUUCACUGAACUCUUGUCCUAGUAGCUUGCAGAUGCCUUCCUGUUCAAGUUACUGCCCUGUAAAUGUUUUUAUAAGGGCAGCCCAGGUGGCUCAGCAGUUUAGCGCCUGCCUUUGGCCCAGGGUGUGAUCCUAGAGUCCCAGGAUCGAGUCCCACAUCAGGCUCCCGGGAUGGAACCUGCUUCUCCCUCUGCCUGUGUCUCUGCCUCUCUCUCUCUCCCUCUCUGUGUCUCUCGUGAAUAAAUAAAUAAAACCUAAAAAAAUAUUUAAUAGUUCAAAAAUGUAUUUGAUAAGGUAAAAACUCUUAGUAUAUCAAACUAAAUGUUUAUUGAUUAGUUUCCAUUUAUCAAUCUUAUUCCCAAAUGUGUUCUCCUUAUUUGGGAGUUACAUUUGGUUUCCCAAAUAGAGUGUAUGUAUUUUAAUGACUAGGAUUUUGGUCUUUCUUCUCCCUGUACUUUGAAUACUACCAGGACUGAGCCUGGUGGGAUGUCUGCCCUGAGGUUAAUGAGUGAGUGCAUGAUGGAGGAGUAUUGUAUAGGGAUGUCGUGGUGCUAAUGUAGUGAACCAGGUAUGAAGUAUUUUCCAGACUGGUUUACAAGCUGAUCUGAGGAAUGAAUAAUUAACUUUUAAGACUUCACUUAAACCCCUGAUUUUUUUAUUUUUUCCCCCUAAUAUGCUGUACUCAUCCAUAGAUUUAGUCACUACAACCUGAGUCUCAUAUUUUAUACACGUCUCUCAAAGCACUUUUUUUGUUCUUUUGUUUUUUCUCUUUUGAUUCCUGUUGUUAAUUUUAUAUGUCGCCUUGAAUAGGAUACAGUACGCAGAUAUUUGGUCAAAUGUUAUUAUAGUAGUUUGUGUGUAGAUUUUUUUUAGAUAAGAUUAAUAUUUAAAUUAGUAGACUGAGUAAAACAAAUUAUCCUGCAUCAUGUAGAUGGGAUGGACCUCAGUUAGAUGAAGGCCCUAGUAGAAAACGACUAAUCUCCCUGGAAGAAAGAAUUUUUCUAGCCCACCACCUUUGGGCUCAAACUGCAACUCUUCCAUGGAUCCCCAUCCUACUGGUCUAUGCUUCAUAUUUUGUAUUUGUCAAAUCUCCACAGUCAUAUGAGCCAAUUAAAAAAAUCUAUUAUCUAUCUAUCUAUCUAUCUAUCUAUCUAUCUAUCUAUCUACCUAUCAUCUAUCUAUCUUCCUUUCUCUCUCUCCCUUUGUAUAUCUAUCUCUCCUAUAUUUAUCACCUUUCUAUCUUACUGGCUCUCUUUCUUUGUAAACCUAAUACAUUCCCUAAAUGCAGCUUGAGGACAGAGUUAUGUCCUUUCGUCCUUCUAUUGUCUAGCAUUUUGCCUGGUAUUCAAAUUGAUAAGUAAUGAAACUUUUUAGUUUAUAAACUAUCAUUCAUAUUAAUGCCACCUUAAUAUUUCUAACCUGCCUUUUCCAUCAGGUAUCUUCAAUGUUUAAUUAUCUGCUCAAAUAACUGCUAACAUAUCUCCUUGGUAUCCUAUUUCCUCAAGAUUAGAUGACAAAUCCUUUCUCUUAUAUUUUAUGCUUUUUAACUAACACCUGAAACUUCUAUACAGUAGCCCCCCAGUUACCUACAGGGAUACACUCCAAGACCCCUGGUGAAUGCCUAUAAAUAUGUAUAGUACCAAAUCUGGAAUAUAAUGUACAUAUGUAUUAUGUUUUUCUCUAUACAUACCUAUGAUGAAGUUUAAUUUAUAAGUCAGGCACAGUAAAAGAGAGAUUAAUAGCAAUAAUAAUAAAAUACAACAAUUAUAGCAAUAUACUAUAAUAACAUUUAUGUGAAUAAUUUUUUUUUCUUCCUUUCAGUGUUUUACACUGUACCCUUUUUCUUCUUGUAAUGCUGUGAGAUGGUAAAAAUGCCUAUGCGAUGAGAUGAAGUGAGAAUGAUGUAGGCAUUGUGAGGUAAUAUUAAGUUACUAUUGACUUUCUGAUGGUAUACCAGAGGAAGAUCAUCUGCUUCCAGUUCUCAGUUGACCAUGGGUAACUGAAAACAUGGAAAACAAAAUCAUAGAUAAUGGGGGAACUAUUGCAUAGGUAGCACCUUCUUCCCAUUACAUAAACACUGUGCUCUGAGCAGCUGCUUUGCUCAUUGUACCCUAGCAUACUUUGUACAUUCUUCUCCUUUGCCUUUGCCCAGGCUGUCAUCCUUGAAGGGAUAUCCUUCACAACAUCCAUCUUGGAUCUCCAAGUGGAGAAUCUUGCCUCCACUUAAUUCCACCUUCUCUGAGACAUCUUCUCUUUCAAUUCAGUUCUAAACAUCUAUCUUCUUGCUUUAAAAGCCUUUUUCCAAAGCCAUAAAUUUCACAUAUCAUGUAGUGCCUUGUAUUGUUGGUUAUUCAUUUUUCUCUCUCUAUGUUACUUAUGUAGGUGCUAAUAUGCCCAUUUAGGGGCAGGUAGUAAAAGUUAAAAACGUAUAAGCUGAAACAAGAUGAACAAAGAACAACUUUCCAAGGAAUAUGGAUAAAUUGAAAUAUAGUAUCAUGGCAGAUUAUAUUUUGAUUUUAUUAUCAGUAUCAUCUUUUUAAAAAGAUUUUAUUUAUUUAUUUGACACAGAGAGAGAGAGAGAGAGAGAGCGAGCAAGCAGGGAGCGAGGUAGAGGGAGAGGGAGAAACAGGUGCUCCACUGAGCAGGAGGACCCUGGGUUUAUUAUGACCUGAGCCAGAGGCAGAUGCUUAACCGACUAAACCACCCAGGUGAUCUUCAAUAUCAUCUUAAAAUAAGUUUUUAAUAGAUGUUUAUAAGAGGCUUGAAUUACUAUAAUUUGUUUUUCAAAUCUUCACUAGAGUAUUAUUGGAAUUUUCUUUGCUCAUGAAGUUUCUUCAUUUUCUUAAUUAUUAUCUGAGGUUCCAGGAGCUAAAUUAUUUUGUCUUUAAUACUCUUAAGAAACAAAUGACAAAUUAAGAAGAAAAGGAGGGAGAUCUAUUUAUUUAUCUAUUUAUCUAUUUAUAUCUGUCAAGACAAAGAGAAUUUGGCUUUUUGGGUGUGUUGUGUUAAUGGCUUAAGAGUUAAUUUUUGCUCAAGAUAUUCCAAAUUUAAACCUUGAAAACAGUAGGAGGGUCAAAAUCAAAGAUAGAGUAACAAAAGAAACAUUUAAAUAUAUUCACAAAAUAUUACUGUAAAUGUCAUAUUUAAGACAGAAGAAUAGACACUGAUUUUGUGUGAAAGUAUUUUUUAGAUAAGAUUAAUAUUAAAUCAGUAGACUUCUGGUUCAUAGGAGAAAUGAGAAGAAAAUGUAAGAUUUCCCAUAUACCCCUUGUAUCCACAUCUGUAUAGCCCCCCUUACUAUUAACAUCCCCUACCAGAGUGAUGUAUUUGUUACAAUGAUGAGCCUACAUUGACACAUCAUAAUUACCCAAGGUUUAUAGUUUAUGUUACAGUUCAUUCUUGGUAUUAUAGGUUCUAUGAAUUUGGACAAACUUAGAAUGGUAUGUAUCUACCAUUAUAAUACCAUAUGAAAUAUUUUUACUGCCCUGCAAAUCCUUUGUGUUCCUCUCAUUUCUUUUCUUCCCCAACACACAGAAUCCCUGGCAAUCACUAAUAUUUUUACGUCUCUAUAGUUUUCUUUUCUAAAAGUCAAAUAGUUAGAUUUGUGUAGUUUGUAGCCUUUGCAGAUUGACUUUUUUACUUAGUAAUAUUCAUUUAAGUUUCUUCUAUGUUUUUUUCAUGGUUUGAUAGCUCUUUACAUUUUAACACUGAAUAAUAUUCCAUUGUCUGGAUGUACCAUGGUUUAAUCAUCCAUUCCCCCACUGAAGGACAUCUCAGUUGCUUCCAAAUUUUGGCAAUUAUGAGUAAAUCUGUUUAUAAACAUCCAUGUAAAGAUGUAUUUGUGGAAAUAACUUUUCAACACCUCUUGGUAGAUACCAAGAAGCAUAAUUUCUGGAUUGCGUAGAUUGUAUUUAUUUUUGUAAGAAGUUACCAUGUUGUCUUCCAAAAUGGCUGUACUGGUUUUCAUUAUUACCAGCAAUGAAUGAGAGCACCUGUUACUCCACAUUCUUGUCCACAUUUGGUAUUGUCAGUGUUCUGGAUUUUAGCCAUUCUAAUAAGUGUGUAACAUUACCUCAUUUUUGCUUUAAUUUGCAUUUUCCUGAUGAUAAAUGAUGUAGAACAUCUU